rnacentral:rRNA from 1 species
GAGUUUGAUCCUGGCUCAGGAUGAACGCUGGCGGCGUGCCUAAUACAUGCAAGUCGAACGGGUGCAGCGAUGUACUAGUGGCGAACGGGUGAGUAACACGUUGGUGACCUGCCCUAAAGAGGGGAAUACCACUUGGAAACGAGUGACAAAACCGCAUAAGCUGGAGGGGAUUAGAAGCCCUUCAGUAAAAGAGAAAUCUACUUUAGGAGGGGCCUGCGGCCCAUCAGCUAGUUGGAGAGGUAACGGCUCACCAAGGCGAAGACGGGUAGGGGACCUGAGAGGGUGAUCCCCCACAAUGGAACUGAAACACGGUCCAUACACCUGCGGGUGGCAGCAGUAGGGAAUAUUGCUUAAUGGGCGAAAGCCUGAAGCAGCAACGCCGCGUGAACGAAGAAGGCCUUCGGGUCGUAAAGUUCUUUUACGUGGGAUGAGGAAGGACAGUACCACGAGAAUAAGUCUCGGCUAACUACGUGCCAGCAGCCGCGGUAAAACGUAGGAGACGAGCGUUAUCCGGAUUUACUGGGCGUAAAGAGCGUGUAGGAGGCUGAGUAAGAUGGAUGUGAAAGCCCCGGGCUUAACUCGGGGAGGUCGUUCGUGACUGCUUAGCUAGAGUAAGUUAGAGGUAAACGGAACUCCGGGAGUAGUGGUGAAAUGCGUAGAUAUCCGGAAGAACAUCAGAGGCGAAAGCGGUUUACUGGGACUUAACUGACACUGAGACGCGAAAGCCAGGGUAGCAAACGGGAUUAGAGACCCCGGUAGUCCUGGCCGUAAACGAUGUAGACUGGACGUUUUGGGGAUAAAACCCCGGAGUGUCGAAGCAAACGCGAUAAGUCUACCGCCUGGGGAGUACGGUCGCAAGAUUAAAACUCAAAGGAAUUGACGGGGACCCGCACAAGCAGCGGAGCGUGUGGUUUAAUUCGAUGAUACACGAAGAACCUUACCAGGGUUUGACAUACAAGUAGUAAGAAGCCGAAAGGCGGAUGACCCCCUCUGGGGGAGCUUGAACAGGUGCUGCAUGGCUGUCGUCAGCUCGUGUCGUGAGAUGUUCGGUUAAGUCCGCUAACGAGCGCAACCCUCGUCGCGUGUUACAAGUGUCACGCGAGACCGCCGGUAGAAAGCCGGAGGAAGGUGGGGAUGACGUCAAGUCAGCAUGGCCUUUAUAUCCUGGGCUACACACACGCUACAAUGGCCGAUACAGUGGGUAGCGAAGCCGCGAGGCGGAGCCAAUCCUAAAAAGUCGGUCGUAGUUCAGAUUGCAGGCUGCAACCCGCCUGCAUGAAGAUGGAGUUGCUAGUAACCGUAGGUCAGCGAUACUACGGUGAAUACGUUCCCGGGCCUUGUACACACCGCCCGUCACGUCAUGGGAGUUGGCAACACCUGAAGCCGGUAUCCUAACCGCAAGGAGGGAGCCGUCAAAGGUGGGGUUGAUAACUGGGACGAAGUCGUAACAAGG